rnacentral:lncRNA from 1 species
AGCAUCUUGGCCGUUUUUUCGAAUCGCGCACGGGUUUACAUUAAACCGAAGGAAACUAGACAUGGCUAUGUUCAAGCUCCACGACCUCCCACAGGAAUUCUUGGAAUACAUGGUUGAUAUCAUGCACAAAGAGGGACACCACUAUUUUUAUCGCGACGACGCGCAAAUUACAGACGAGCUGGAGAUGACUGGGCCGGAAAGGUUGUUCGUGGGCUUCACAAUACGCCUUUUCCUCUACAACAAGGACCAAUCAGGCCAUUCAAAAUUAGAGGUAGAGUGGAGGA